rnacentral:rRNA from 1 species
UACGUAGGGUGCGAGCGUUGUCCGGAAUUACUGGGCGUAAAGAGCUCGUAGGUGGUUUGUCGCGUUGUUCGUGAAAACUCACAGCUCAACUGUGGGCGUGCGGGCGAUACGGGCAGACUGGAGUACUGCAGGGGAGACUGGAAUUCCCGGUGUAGCGGUGAAAUGCGCAGAUAUCGGGAGGAACACCGGUGGCGAAGGCGGUUCUCUGGGCCUGUACUGACGCUGAGGAGCAAAAGCGUGGGGAGCGAACAGG